rnacentral:rRNA from 1 species
CGCUCUUUGCAAAAUAAUUAAAGUAUAAAGAGUUCUGCCUGCCCAGUGACGUUGUUAAACGGCCGCGGUAUUUUGACCGUGCAAAGGUAGCAUAAUCAUUUGCCUUUUAAAUGGGGGCUGGUAUGAAUGGCAAGACGGAGGUUAGGCUGUCUUUUUCUUUUAUCUUGAAAUUAAUAUUUUUGUGAAGAAGCAGAAAUAAAUUCGUAGGACGAGAAGACCCUAUCGAGCUUUAGCAUAGCCAUAUUAGUAGUGGUUUUAUUAAAUGAGUCUAAUUAAAUUAAAUAAUAAUUAAAAAACUUAACUUAUGUAGAAAAAUUACAUAAUAUUGUUGUUUUGGUUGGGGCAACCAUGGAGAAAAUAAAUCCUCCAUUAAAUAAAAAAAAAGAUACAACUUUGUUAAUAAUUGAAAGUGAUCCGGCUUUAUGCCGAACAAAGGAAUAAGUUACCGUAGGGAUAACAGCGUAAUUUUUUUGGAGAGUCCAUAUUGAUAAAAAAGUUUGCGACCUCGAUGUUGGAUCGGGAUUUCCUGGAGAUGCAGCAGUUUCCAAGGGUUGGUCUGUUCGACCAUUAAAAUCCU